CGGAAAUAAUUUUUUUAUUGCAAAGAAGAGAGCAAGAAGUCAAACUACACCAAUCUCAGAUAAGAUCAUGAAAAAUAAAUAAAACGCACACGCCCCAUCCAAAGGGAAAUCAAUGAUAAACUAUAUGCACAAUAAUAGCUAGGAGUAUGCAAGAUUGGGAAAUUGUGGAAGGUGGACUAGUUGAUCAGAAAGUCAGUAUGUCAUGAAGGUUGAAACAUAUGAAGCUG
rnacentral:misc_RNA from 1 species